rnacentral:rRNA from 1 species
GACGAACGCUGGCGGCGUGCUUAACACAUGCAAGUCGAACGGAAAGGCCCUGCUUUUGUGGGGUGCUCGAGUGGCGAACGGGUGAGUAACACGUGAGUAACCUGCCCUUGACUUUGGGAUAACUUCAGGGAACUGGGGCUAAUACCGGAUAGGAGCUCCUGCUGCAUGGUGGGGGUUGGAAAGUUUCGGCGGUUGGGGAUGGACUCGCGGCUUAUCAGCUUGUUGGUGGGGUAGUGGCUUACCAAGGCUUUGACGGGUAGCCGGCCUGAGAGGGUGACCGGCCACAUUGGGACUGAGAUACGGCCCAGACUCCUACGGGGGGCAGCAGUGGGGAAUAUUGCACAAUGGGCGGAAGCCUGAUGCAGCAACGCCGCGUGCGGGAUGACGGCCUUCGGGUUGUAAACCGCUUUCGCCUGUGACGAAGCGUGAGUGACGGUAAUGGGUAAAGAAGCACCGGCUAACUACGUG